CUGCAGUCGACGAACCUUCGGGUUAGUGGCGGACGGGUGAGUAACGCGUGGGAAUCUGCCCUCAGGAGGGGGAUAACGGCUGGAAACGGCCGCUAGUACCCCAUAUGCCGAGAGGUGAAAUGAAAUUCGCCUGAGGAUGAGCCCGCGUCUGAUUAGCUAGUUGGUGGGGUAAGAGCCUACCAAGGCGACGAUCAGUAGCUGGUCUGAGAGGAUGAUCAGCCACACUGGGACUGAGACACGGCCCAGACUCCUACGGGAGGCAGCAGUGGGGAAUUUUCCGCAAUGGGCGAAAGCCUGACGGAGCAACGCCGCGUGAGGGACGAAGGCCUCUGGGCUGUAAACCUCUUUUCUCAAGGAAGAAGAUCUGACGGUACUUGAGGAAUAAGCCACGGCUAAUUCCGUGCCAGCAGCCGCGGUAAUACGGGAGUGGCAAGCGUUAUCCGGAAUUAUUGGGCGUAAAGCGUCCGCAGGCGGCUUUGUAAGUCUGCUGUCAAAGCGUGGAGCUCAACUCCAUUUCUGCAGUGGAAACUACGAGGCUUGAGUGUGGUAGGGGCAGAGGGAAUUCCCGGUGUAGCGGUGAAGAUGCGUAGAUAUCGGGAAGAACACCAGUGGCGAAGGCGCUCUGCUGGGCCAUAACUGA
rnacentral:rRNA from 1 species